rnacentral:rRNA from 1 species
CCUACGGGUGGCAGCAGUGGGGAAUAUUGGACAAUGGGCGAAAGCCUGAUCCAGCCAUGCCGCGUGUGUGAAGAAGGCCUUCGGGUUGUAAAGCACUUUCAGUGGGGAAGAAAGCCUUGGGGCUAAUACCCUCGAGGAAGGACAUCACCCACAGAAGAAGCACCGACUAACUCCGUGCCAGCAGCCGCGGUAAUACGGAGGGUGCGAGCGUUAAUCGGAAUUACUGGGCGUAAAGCGCGCGUAGGCGGUCUGAUAAGCCGGUUGUGAAAGCCCCGGGCUCAACCUGGAAACGGCAUCCGGAACUGUCAGGCUAGAGUGCAGGAGAGGAAGGUAGAAUUCCCGGUGUAGCGGUGAAAUGCGUAGAGAUCGGGAGGAAUACCAGUGGCGAAGGCGGCCUUCUGGACUGACACUGACGCUGAGGUGCGAAAGCGUGGGUAGCAAACAGGAUUAGAUACCCCAGUAGUC